CUCCAUGGUUUCAUUUGGGUCAUAUGUUAGCUGUGGACCACUUGAAUUUACAACCGUUAUUAUCUCAAUACCUAGGACAAACACGAUUACCACAGUUAUUAGAUGUGGUAUCAGAUGUUAUGUGUACAGUAGAGAAUGUAAUAAAUGAUGUUUGUCGAGUUGAUGACCUAUAUAUGGUAGAUAUACAACAGUAUAGAGUCGAGUUUAAUGUACUGAAUAUACAAACUGUGAAGAAAAUUAAAGUUUAUGUGACCUUUGACCCUGUGAAUAUUCUGAAACCCAAGAUCGAUCUGAAACCAAUGAUUGGUGACAUCAAGGUGGAAGGUUUACAAGGUAAACUGGAAGAAUGUAGUGGAAGAGGCUGUAUGAAACAAAUACUAAAACUUAUACAAGAUUUUAUAGCAAUUUAAACAUCAACUGACCAUCAUACUGUCCGAUUUAAAUAUCAACUGACCAUGUAUACAUCAUACUGUCAGAUUUAUAAAACUUGUAUACACUCAGGCACUGACUGCACUCAUGUCAUAGGCAGAUAUCAGGGAUGCUGUUAAAAUAAAUAUUUUGCUCCUUGGACAUUUUUAAAUUGUUUCUAUG